UGUUCCUUGAGGAGUGGCUUCCGGAGCUAACGCGUUAAGUCGACCGCCUGGGGAGUACGGCCGCAAGGUUAAAACUCAAAUGAAUUGACGGGGGCCCGCACAAGCGGUGGAGCAUGUGGUUUAAUUCGAUGCAACGCGAAGAACCUUACCUACUCUUGACAUCCAGAGAACUUAGCAGAGAUGCUUUGGUGCCUUCGGGAACUCUGAGACAGGUGCUGCAUGGCUGUCGUCAGCUCGUGUUGUGAAAUGUUGGGUUAAGUCCCGCAACGAGCGCAACCCUUAUCCUUUGUUGCCAGCGGUUCGGCCGGGAACUCAAAGGAGACUGCCAGUGAUAAACUGGAGGAAGGUGGGGAUGACGUCAAGUCAUCAUGGCCCUUACGAGUAGGGCUACACACGUGCUACAAUGGCAUAUACAAAGAGAAGCGACCUCGCGAGAGCAAGCGGACCUCAUAAAGUAUGUCGUAGUCCGGAUUGGAGUCUGCAACUCGACUCCAUGAAGUCGGAAUCGCUAGUAAUCGUAGAUCAGAAUGCUACGGUGAAUACGUUCCCGGGCCUUGUACUCCCCGCCCGUCA
rnacentral:rRNA from 1 species